CUCAAUUCUAUUUCUACGCCUCUUUUCCAGUGCCUUGUUCCUGAAUGUGCUUCUGGAAUAUCUGCAAUGCUCCUCCAAGUUAAACCUGGAAAUUGGCUUUCCCAGAAUGAGCACUACUAUGUGGGUACGUGAGUGUGUCUAUGGAAUCCUUGGCCCCUGUCACGCUAAAGAGUCAUCACUCUGGGAAAGAGAGCAACUGCUUUUUCCCCAACCUCUGGUCUUUGGAACAAGCUCCAUUUGGACCAUUGGAACGCCCCUUUGGACGGACCCUUACCCGGACGGAUGGCCAAGCCUCAAGACUCAACGAACGAGAGGACAGGGAAGAAGAGGAGAGAAUGAGAGAGAGAGAAAGAGAGAGAGAGAAAGAGAGAGAGAGAGAGAAAGAGAGGACGAGAGAAAAACCAGAAAAGAGAGGGCUCACUCACUCUAGGUUAUGGGAGACCCAAAGAGGGAAAGAAAAGACAGAGAGAGCGAGAGAGGAGAAGAAGGAGGAGAGAUGGUUGCUCGCAGCCCGCAGCUGAGGCUGCUACGGCUGCGGCAGCUGCAACACUAGCCACUGCCGCCGUUGAGGUUGGCGCAGAUGAUCGAGGGAGAUUGAACAAGGCCUUCUGCAAAAGUUCCAUGAUUGACAGAGAGCCCUUUGGAACUUUGUGCCAACAAAGAGAGAAAGCAGGCUUGAAGCAACAACACCACCGUCGACGACAGAGUUUCACUACAUGACAAAUUGAUGCAAGCACUCCAGGUUCGCUCUUCUACUCUGCCUUUGUAAUUAAGAUCAGAAUAAGACGGAUAAAGUAAAUGAAGCAAUGGCAGUCACACGACAAUUGCUGAAAUAACUGAAGUCACAUAAGCAAUCAAAUCCGAGGAAUAUUUGUCAAUACUAAUAUAUCUUGGAGCACAUAAUGUCUCGAAAACACAGGCACAUCAACACGAGAUUUUUCCCUCGUGUUUCGAGCGUGAAACAAUGUCCUGUUCAGAACGAGUGACAAAUGUGACUGCUUUUCUCUCUGCUCGCAACUUUGUCAAGGCGGGCGUCACCAACAAGAACAAGCGGACCAAACGAGAACAAGAUGAUGAAGCACAAGAAGACGAAGACGACGACGAGGACCGCGAGGACCACGAGGCAAACAGGAACGAACGACCCUCGGAACGAUCCAACGAACGAACGAACGAACGAACGAACCACCGAAAGAACGAUCGCGCCGAGGUGGUCACGAUCACACAAAGCAGGCUCACCUCGGAUGAGGGCUCAAUACUGUUCCAUCCAGAGGACUGUCGCAGGCCCACGUCUCCUCAGUUGCUUGGCUAUCACGCUGCACCGCACAACCCAAGCCCACUAGAGGACAGGGAGGAAAAAGCGAGCGUCGUCCCUGAGUGAAAACCGUGCCCAAGUCCGCGACAUCCCGUUAAGGAAUGCCGUCUGGGAGACAAAAAGCGCGGGUGACGGGAAAUCAAACGACAACCCACGACCAACACCACACCAAAAGUGUCAACUCGGCGGGUAAAUUUGUCACAGUCGGAUGUGACGGUGAUUAUUGUGGAGAUGUCUGUUUAGCUACACAAAGCGUUUGGCUGGAUAUCGAAAACGGAUUGUAAGAUCUGUAUUUCCAGAUGUGUCCCUGAAGGGUCUCUCAUUGGAAGUGUUUUGCACACAUUCGAUUCGGUCACUCCUGCCUGCACUCACCAUUCGAGUCGGUAUCGCCUCAAAAACCAUCCCUCAACCUGGAGCGGCAUUGUUGCGGCUAAUGUUUUUCUGUGGUCUGCUGUCCUUUGUCACCUGUAAUUUUCCAUUGUUCUCG